UUCAUUUCUAUGGUCACGCUUGCCCUCCGGUUUGUCUUCAAGCCUGGUCUUCAAUGAUCCUGACCUUGGAGAAGACCGUGCAUGGAUCACCCGUAGGCCUCGCAGUUGAGAUUGUUCCCGGUGGCCAUAUCAGCAUGCACAACGCAAGGUGGCUGCCAUGUUCCUGCGUGGGUCCAUACAAGCCUCAAAGCCAGUGUUCGAGUGCUGUCGAAUAAGUUCGAGUCCUCAUCCUGCGCAACCUACUGCUGUCUUGAUCAUCUGCACCAGGAGAGCAGACAUCUGCCCACCCCCAUCUCAUUUCC